CGGAGGGUGGGCCUGAGAGGGGUAGCGGCCAUCUCUUACCUAACCCUAACUGAGACUGGCGUAGGCGCUGCGCUUUUGUUCCCCGCGCGCUGUUUUUCUCGCUGACUUUCAGCGGGCGGAAAAGCCUCGGCCUGCCGCCAUCCACCGUCUAGUCUGAAGCAAACAAAAAAUGUCAGCCGCUGGCUCGCUCGCCUCUCUCGGGAAACCUGCGUGGCUCGCCCGCCCGGCCCCCGCGCCCCGCCUGAGGCCGCGGUCGGCCCGGGGCUUCUCCGGAGGCGCCCAUUGCCGCCGCGAAGAGUUGGGCUCUGUCAGCCGCGGGUCGCUCGGGGGGCCGAGGCGCGGCUCUUACCGCAGGGAAAGGAACGGAGCCGGUCCCUGCGCCUGGUGCGCUUCCCUGAGCUGUGGGACGUGCACCCGGGACUCGGCUCAGACACUUGCAGCCUGAGGGGCUGCGGGGGGUGGGGGGUGGGCAGUCCGCUUGUGUGCGUCAGUCUUCCCUCGCCGUUGGUGGUGGGCCUGCGUACCUCCAAACCUGCAGACUAGGCCGGAGCGCGUGCGAGGGAACUGUCAGAAGGACACGUGGAGGCACCUCCAAGUUGGUUCAAAUGAAUGGGCGGUGAGCCGAGUGGCCAGCUAGCGUAGGGUUUUUUUGUCCUCUGCCUCCUGUGGUGGUGUUGCCCUUUAUCGGUAUCCCAACGCGGUUCCUGCUCUGCGGAUUUUGUCGAGGUUUUGGCCUCUCCGUAAAUAGAUCGCAGUCAGUCCGGCCAGUCGGGUGUUAGGAGAGCAGUGAUUUUUUUUGUGAGAUUAUUAAACACUUAACAUUUGUUAACUGGAAGAUCUAGUCUGUUCUUAAAACAGUGGAAAUUAUGUUCCUUAAUGGUCGUUGCUUUUCAACUUUGUCUCCGUCUUUGGAUGCAAAGUAUUAAGUGGUGACAAAAAAGUUUAGGAAGAAAUAUGUAUAUACCCCCCCCCCCCCCCGACUUGGGGCAGGUUUCUUCGCCAAAGGGCGGGGGGAAGGGGGGGAGGGAAAAAAAGGCCCAUUCGUCUCCAAAAUCUAACUUGCAGGUUAAAGUAAGGAUUCAUCCGAAGUCAGUACCUUUACUUCCUUAAGAUAGCUAUUCUGGCGGCAGUUGCUGUGGAGACAGUAGCCGGCAACCUGAAUUAUAAAGGCAAAUUAACAGUGUGAUACCCAGCUGGGAUCUGGACCCGACAAUGGACAAGAAAAAUCAGAACCAUAAUGAUUCACUUCCUUAAAUUAUAUAAUUUUGUAGCAAGAAGAGUUCAACCAAUGAGAUAAUUUACAUGACAGCUUUUUGGAGAUAAUAAUUAUGGCAAAUGUGACUUACUGCUACAAGAUUUAAGUCCCUCUACCAGACGAAGAAACUCCCUUGGUCAAAAAUUCCAUAUUGGCCUGGCUCAAGACAUAAGAGACAAAUAGAAGACACCUGCACCCACACUCACAAAAAGUGUAGAGGAAGAGUGGUUUUAAAUUAAGACCUCUCAGGAGAGGAGUGGGACUAGAGACUAAGGACUCAACCAAUCAUGCGGAUGUAAUGAAGUCCCAAUAAAAACUCGACAUUUUGAAGCUUGCGCGAGGAAGCUUCACUUUGGGGACCCUCCCAGACCUCUCACCCUGUGCAUCUCUCUCUUU